UAUUUAACAUUCAAGAGUUCGAGAUUGUAUGUGUUCACCAAAAGCUUCUAUUCCAUUGUGAGGUAUUCUGGAAUAUGUGGUAUAUACAUACAAAAUUUGAUACUGUGACUAUAAAUCCAAUUGCCAUACUUACAAUUUAGAGUUUUGUAAAAAUCUCAUGGAGACAUACUUGGCAAUACUCUAAUAUAUAUGGAUUCGCGAUGUGGUUGCCAACACACAUUGAUAUUAAUCAAUAAUGGCUUAUAUUGGGCAUUAGGACUCAAUGGCACUGCAGCCAAUCCUUGUACGCACUCGUGAUGGCAUGGAUGUUACCGUAUUGGAAGCUGGACAAUAUCACAACGCUGUUGUUACCAACGGUCUAUUGCUCACUUGGGGACUACAACCAAUCGCCACGUAACAUGUGUCAGUGUCGAAUGGCUAAGCAGACAGAUGGGUACACCGUGCUUAAAUUGGCUUAAGCAAUUGUGACGGUUAUUUCUUAUACCGGCUACGACAUGGAGGAUGCCAUGAUUAUAAAUAAAUCUGCCUAUGAACAUGGUUUCGCUCACGGUAGCAUCUAUAUAUCAAAAUGUUUUGAAUUGAGUGGAAAUUGCUAUUUUGCUCGUAGUCCGCAAAUGCCAGAGCUUCGCGAACAUUUAGAUAGAUUUACCUCAUCCGGGCAGCAGAUCUGAAUAUGUUUUGACAAAGAUGUAACACGUAUGUGUCAUAAUCCUGAAAAUGGUCCUUUGUUAUUGGCUUGGAUGAUGGUGAACAUACGGUAUACCAACGCUUCGGAAAAUGAUCAGCAAGUUGCCGUCAAAUGGGCAAACUAUCAUUGGAUUUAAAUUGCUUUUCGUAUAUGCAUGAUAUGAUUUCAAACCCGA